AUACCUAGAAAACAAGUGUUUUGUACUAUAAUUCCUCAUAAAAUUAAUAUAAAUAUAACCAAACUACACUUGCUUAUAUUUAUUACUUACAAAUACAUAAUAAUAAUAAAUUAUACUUCUUUUAUAUCAUAAAAAGCAAGUCUUAGGUCGGUGUGUUUAGUCGAUCUUUUACAAUGCGCCGGCCUCCCAACGUUCGCUUGAGGCAAUUUUGGUUGCACACCCCAUGGACACCCAUUUUAAUGUUGUUGAUGCGGUGGGAAUUUGUCGGAGAUGGGUGUAGGCAUUUCCGAACGCUCGCCAAAGCUAUUUUGUACGCAAAAGUUCUCAACUUCUCAUGUUUUUAUACUAUUUUUGUUUCAAAUUUAUAGAUGACCAUCUCGAUGUAUUGUACAGUGUUAAUCGGGAUAAUUCAGACUUGGAAUUAGAUUUGAACAUACCACAAACGUAUAUUCGAGACAUGGAAAAUAGUGAAGAGACAUUUCCUGAAGCCGAUUUCAGAAAACCGCUCCGUUUCUCAAAGAAAAUUGUGCAAAAUGUUUUGUUCCAUUAAUCAAUCACUUUCUUCUCACAAUUCUUUUCAUAAUGAUAUUUUUAUUAAUUAAUUUUAUUGUCAGUUCCUACUUGGUAAAACAAUUCAAGCUUGUCUGUAUGGUGUGUUGUUGAAAGAAUAAUAAUAAUAAACAAAGUUAUUACUGCA